CCUACGGGCGGCAGCAGUGGGGAAUAUUGCACAAUGGGGGAAACCCUGAUGCAGCGACGCCGCGUGAGCGAUGAAGUAUUUCGGUAUGUAAAGCUCUAUCAGCAGGGAAGAAAAUGACGGUACCUGACUAAGAAGCCCCGUCUAACUACGUGCCAGCAGCCGCGGUAACACGUAGGGGGCAAGCGUUAUCCGGAUUUACUGGGUGUAAAGGGAGCGUAGACGGCGAUGUAAGACAGAUGUGAAAGCACGGGGCUCAACCCCGGGACUGCAUUUGGAACUGUAUAGCUGGAGUGUCGGGGAGGCAGGCGGAAUUCCUAGGGUAGCGGUGAAAUGCGUAGAUAUUAGGAGGAAAACCAGUGGCGAAGGCGGCCUGCUGGACGAUGAAUGAAGUUGAGGCUAGAAAGCGUGGGGAGCAAACAGGAUUAGAUAACCCAGUAGUC
rnacentral:rRNA from 1 species